AGUCUUAGCAAGUCACAGAACUUUAGACUCCAGGGGCUCUGGAGGGCACUCCGCACAGCACGGCCUCUCACUUGGCCGAGGAGACCACUGGCACCCAGGAGGUUAAGUUCCCUGUCUGUCCACAGCAAUUCUACUAGCCCGCGCUGAAGUUACACCAAGGCAAGCAGCUUAAUUUUGGCCAACCCGAAGGAUUUAGGCAGGAUUUGGGUGGAAGGCAGGCUGGGCGACCCUUGAGGAGAGUUGCUAAACGUUGUACAGAUAAAAUGAAAUAGGUCAUGUGGUCACGUGGUCAUAGUUAACAACACUUGACGCCACCAAGUCCGCGGAAAGAUGCUCAACACCACUAAUCACGAGGCAAGUGCAAACCAAACCCAUCAUGCACCAGGCUGGCCACUGUCAAAAAACAGAAAAUAACAGUUGGUGAAGAUGUGCAGAAACUGGAAGCCUUGUACACUGUUGGAGAGAAUGUGAAAUGGUGCAGUUACGUUGGGAAACAGUAUGUAAUCGCCUUAAAAAAUUCAACAUAGAACUACCAUAUGAUCCAGCAACUUCACUUCUGGGUAUAUACCCAAAAUAAUUGGAACCAGGGGUGCCAAGGGAUGUUUGUACCAUCAAGUUCAUAGUGGCAUUAUUUACAAUAGCUAAAGUAUGGAAGCAGCAAGCCAGGUGUCCACUGACAGAUGCGUGGAGAAACAAAAUGUGGUAUCUACAUACAAUGGAAUAUCAUUCAGCCUAAAAAAAGGAAGGAAACUGUGACAGUGCUACACCAUCGGUGAACCUUGCAGACAUUAUGCUAAGUGAAAUGAGCCACAAAAGUCACAGUAAGCCACAAAAAGACAAAUACUAGAUGAUUUCACUUAUGUGAGGCACCUAGAGCAGUCAAGCUCAUAGGGACAGAAAGUAGAAUGGGGUGGUGCGGGGCAUGGGGUAGAAGGAAACGGGAGUCAUUGUUUCUUGAGUCCAGAGCUUUACUUAGGCAAGAUGAGUUCUGGAGAGGGAUGAUGAUGAUGGUUGCACAACAUUAUGAAUGUAUUUAAUACCAGUGAACUGUACACUUUAAAAUAGUUAAAUGGGGCCGGGCGCGUGGGCUCAUGCCUGUAAUCCCAGCACUUUGGGAGGCCGAGGCAGGCGGAUCACU
rnacentral:lncRNA from 1 species